rnacentral:rRNA from 1 species
CAGGAGAGCUUGCUCUCUGGGUGGCGAGUGGCGGACGGGUGAGGAAUACAUCGGAAUCUACUCUGUCGUGGGGGAUAACGUAGGGAAACUUACGCUAAUACCGCAUACGACCUACGGGUGAAAGCAGGGGACCUUCGGGCCUUGCGCGAUUGAAUGAGCCGAUGUCGGAUUAGCUAGUUGGCGGGGUAAAGGCCCACCAAGGCGACGAUCCGUAGCUGGUCUGAGAGGAUGAUCAGCCACACUGGAACUGAGACACGGUCCAGACUCCUACGGGAGGCAGCAGUGGGGAAUAUUGGACAAUGGGCGCAAGCCUGAUCCAGCCAUACCGCGUGGGUGAAGAAGGCCUUCGGGUUGUAAAGCCCUUUUGUUGGGAAAGAAAU